ACGGGACACCUGCAUCUGCCAACAAGACUGGAAGCAGGUGAGGCACACAGAGGGGGAGGCCCGCAGCUGCGUGGGAGGAGGGGUGGUCUGAGGGACGUGGGAUGCCGGGAAUGAGGCUGGUUUGCAGGUUGGCGCAUGGACAUUUUCCCAGAAAGGGACAGAGACGGCGAAGUUUGACGGUCUGGAAAGCAGAGACCAGCAGGGCUGACUGCUUGGGAGGAGGAGAAUGCUAUUUAUUUCAGCACCAAAUAUCCGGACAGCGCCUCUCGGGAGGUCCGAGAAGAGAACCGCGAUCUGUUUCAGCACCGGGGCUCAGGACAGUUCCCAGCGGGCUCCGUUUCGUCUCCAGAACCCUGGACAGCUCCUCCAGCUUGGAAUGCACUCCCUCCACCUCCAACCAGAGCUCCCCACAACUGACCCUGCCUUCUUCUGCAAGCUCCAUUUCAUCAAGGGAAACGAUCCUUAUUGCCUCACCAUUUCCCACGUGAAGUCUGUAUUGACAUUCUCAUAGACCUGGGAUAUUGUGUCUGCAGCACAUAGUCCAAUUAUUUUCAUGUUAUCUACUGACAGGUCUAUUUGUCUCCCUGUUACACUGUGAGCUCCGUGAGGGCAGAAACAAUG
rnacentral:lncRNA from 1 species